rnacentral:rRNA from 1 species
UACGUAGGAGGCGAGCGUUGUCCGGAUUUACUGGGCGUAAAGCGCGCGCAGGCGGCUCACUAAGUAAGGUGUGAAAUCUCCCUGCCUAACGGGGAGGGUGCACUUUAGACUGGUGGGCUAGAGGACGGUAGAGGGGGGUGGAAUUGCUGGUGUAGCGGUGAAAUGCGUAGAGAUCAGCAGGAACACCCGUGGCGAAGGCGGCCCCCUGGGCCGAACCUGACGCUGAGGCGCGAAGGCUAGGGGAGCGAACGGG